CCCUUAGAUGUUCUGGGCCGCACACGCGCUACACUGAAGGAGGCAGCGUGUACUCCUGGAUCGCAAGAUUUGGGUAACCCGCGAAUCUCCUUCGUGCUAGGGAUUGAGGUUUGCAAUUAUCCUUCAUGAACGAGGAAUUCCCAGUAAGUGCAAGUCAUAAGCUUGCGCUGACUACGUCCCUGCCCUUUGUACACACCGCCCGUCGCUACUACCGAUUGAAUGAUUUAGUGAGGACUUCGGACUGGGACCGAUGCGGCUUUCGGGCUGCGUCGGUAUUCUGGAAAGAUGUCCAAACUGUAUCAUUUAGAGGAAGUAAAAGUCGUANCA
rnacentral:rRNA from 1 species